GACAGAGGGUGCAAGCGUUGUCCGGAAUUAUUGGGCGUAAAGAGCUCGUAGGCGGUCUGUCGCGUCGAUCGUGAAAACUUGGGGCUUAACCCUGAGCUUGCGGUCGAUACGGGCAUGACUGGAGUUCGGCAGGGGAGACUGGAAUUCCUGGUGUAGCGGUGAAAUGCGCAGAUAUCAGGAGGAACACCGGUGGCGAAGGCGGGUCUCUGGGCCGAUACUGACGCUGAGGAGCGAAAGCGUGGGGAGCGAACAGG
rnacentral:rRNA from 1 species